rnacentral:rRNA from 1 species
CCUACGGGAGGCUGCAGUGGGGAAUAUUGCACAAUGGGGGAAACCCUGAUGCAGCGACGCCGCGUGAGCGAUGAAGUAUUUCGGAAUGUAAAGCUCUAUCAGCAGGGAAGAAAAUGACAGUACCUGACUACGAAGCACUGGCUAACUACGUGCCAGCAGCCGCGGUAAUACGUAGGGGGCAAGCGUUAUCCGGAUUUACUGGGUGUAAAGGGAGCGUAGACGGCGGUGCAAGUCAGAUGUGAAAGCCGGGGGCUCAACCCCGGGACUGCAUUUGGAACUGUGCUGCUAGAGUUUCGGAGAGGCAGGCGGAAUUACUAGUGUAGCGGUGAAAUGCGUAGAUAUUAGGAGGAACACCAGUGGCGAAGGCGGCUUGCUGGACGAUGACUGACGUUGAGGCUCGAAAGCGUGGGGAGCAAACAGGAUUAGAUACCCUUGUAGUC